rnacentral:piRNA from 1 species
UAUUUUUGAGAUUUCAUGGGUGCCGUUU